AGCAGCCGCGGUAAUUCCAGCUCCAAUAGCGUAUAUUAAAGUUGUUGCAGUUAAAAAGCUCGUAGUUGAAUUUUGGGAUCAAUGCGUCGGUCGUGCCUUGGGUACGUACUAGCGUCAUUGAUUCCUCCCUUCUGAAGAACCGUGAUGUCAUUAAUUUGGUGUUACGGGGAAUCAGGACUGUUACCUUGAAAAAUUAGAGUGUUUAAAGCAGGCUAACGCUUGAAUACAUUAGCAUGGAAUAAUGAAAUAGGACGUUCGAACCUAUUUUGUUGGUUUCUAGGAUCGACGUAAUGAUUAAUAGGGAUAGUUGGGGGCAUUAGUAAUCAAUUGUCAGAGGUGAAAUUCUUAGGAUUUAUUGAAGACUAACUACUGCGAAAAGGNUAGUUUCAUUAAUCAAGAACGAAAGUUAGGGGAUCGAAGACGAUCAGAUACCGUCGUAGUCUUAACAUAAACUAUGCCGACUAGGGAUCGGAUGAUGUUAAAUUUUAUAAUGACUCA
rnacentral:rRNA from 1 species